GGAAAGAUAACCUUUAUUGAAAUGAGAGGCAACAACAUAUUAAUACAAAAUAUCAUUGACUUGCCAUAAGUGUUUCCUCUUAAACUGAUAUUACUACAAACCUUACCAACAGAUUGGCCAACACCAGAAACUGCACACUGACGUCUUGCUUUCGAGAUUUCAUCACAGGUGAAAUGAAAACUGUUCAAACUAUGUAAGACAUAUCAUAGUGAAGUCAGUCUUUUUAUUUAAUUAAUGUGAUUUAUACAUUUCUUUUCCUUUAAAUGACAUGACAUGAUACAUGAUAAUAUGUUGGCUGCAGUUUAAAACCAGUUAUGUAAAAAAAUCCAGUUUCAAAUGAAAAACUGCAAAUACAUGUAUGUUUUCCAUUCUUUACACUAUAAAAUUAGUCUACCCUUAUACAUACAUAAAGUAGUCAGGAAGUGUUUUGAUGAGGGGGAAAAUAUUACUUCUGUUUUUUAAAGAAUGAAUAGUAAUCUAGAAAUAUAUUUUUUUAAAACAGUUUCUACAGUUGUAACAAGGGAGCUCUACAAUCAGGUACAAUCAGUAGCCAGUACUCCAGUACUAGCAUGAAAAUACAUAUUUUUUGUGUUAUUAAAUUUUCUGUUACAAAAUGUUAAAAAUUAUUAUAAACAAGUGAAACUGCGAGCUACUGCUCACUGAUGAUACCCCCGCCGCAAGUGGAUAAUAUUAAUAGUGUAAAAAUAUGCAAGUGUUCGGUAAACAGGAAGUAGUCGAGUGAUGAAUCUGAAAACGCAUCACACGGUAUAGCUGACUUAUAUAAAUCCUGAAACCAAAUUUCAGAAAUCCUUGUAUUUUAGUUCCUGAGAAAAAUGUGACGAAAAUUUUCAACUUGGCUAUCAUGUGUAAAAUCAUACAAGUGUUCGGUAAACAGGAAGUUGUCGAGUGAUGAAUCUGAAAACGCAUCACACGGUAUAGCUGACUUAUAUAAAUCCUGAAACCAAAUUUCAGAAAUCCUUGUAUUGUAGUUCCUGAGAAAAAUGUGACGAAAAUUUUCAAAUUGGCUAUCAUGUGUAAAAUCAGACAAGUGUUCGGUAAACAGGAAGUUGUCAAGUGAUGAAUCUGAAAACGCAUCACACGGUGUGGCUGACAUAUAUAAAUGUUGAUACCAAAUUACAGAAAGGGUGGAUGUGUAGUUCCUGAGAAAAAUGUGACGAAAGUUUCAUGGGACGGACUGACUGACGGACUGACUGACGGACUGAUGGACGGACGGACUGACAGACAGAGGUAAAACAGUAUACCCCCCCUUUUUUUAAAGCGGGGGUAUAAUUAAGGAAUGUAUCUCCCUCAUGCAAAGCUCUGAUUCCUUACACGGAUUUGGCUAUACUUUUUGGAACUUUUGGAUUAUAUCUACAAUCUUUUAUAUAAGCUUUGGAUUUUACAUAUUUUGGCCAGGAGCAUCACUGAAGAGACAUAUUUUGUCGAAAUGUGCAUCUGGUGCAGAAAAAUUGGUACCGUUAAUGUUAUUAUAGGGGCCUUAACAGUGUGCUGUACAGAUAAUUUUCCCUUCCUUUUUCAUAUUCCUAUACUUGCGAUUGGAAUUACCACUUUCUAGUUUCUAUAUAUGCUAGUUUUGUAUAAGUUAUUAGACAUAUCCAAGUAAGACAAUUAUGUAAUAAAAUAGCAUUAGAAGUGGAAUGUUGCUUCAAAUCAGAUAUAAAUGUCAAACUAAAUAUAAUUACUACUGGUUUAUUCUUUAGUCUGAAAGAACCCACCAAGUUGUAAAAAAACCCAACUUUUAAAACAGAAACAGAAGUAUUUUCUGUGAAUUAUAAAAGCAAUAUACAUGUCCCUAAAACUUGAGAUUUUAAAAACAAGAGGCUCUCAAGAGCCUGAAUCGCUCACCUGGUAAACAAUGCCUUAUUGAACAUAUUGAACCAUGCCAGGCAAACAAAAACUGCAUUUGACCCCUAUGUUCUAUUUAAAGUAAGGGCGGCCAUGUUUUUUGACGGAUCAAAAAUCGAAGCGCACACUUUGUGCAGGAUAAUCUAAGGAACUAUCAUGCUAAGUUUCAUCCAAAUCCAUUCAGUAGUUUCAGAGGAGAAGAUUUUUUAAAGUUAGCAAAUAUGAUGAACAAAUUGUGAAAAAAUUGUCAUUAAAGGACA
rnacentral:lncRNA from 1 species